rnacentral:rRNA from 1 species
AGAGUUUGAUCAUGGCUCAGAAUGAACGCUGGCGGCAGGCCUAACACAUGCAAGUCGAACGGGUGUCUUCGGGCACUAGUGGCGGACGGGUGAGUAACGCGUGGGAACAUACCCAAAGGUACGGAAUAGCCUCGGGAAACUGAGAGUAAUACCGUAUGUGCCCUUCGGGGGAAAGAUUUAUCGCCUUUGGAUUGGCCCGCGUUGGAUUAGGUAGUUGGUGGGGUAAUGGCCUACCAAGCCGACGAUCCAUAGCUGGUUUGAGAGGAUGAUCAGCCACACUGGGACUGAGACACGGCCCAGACUCCUACGGGAGGCAGCAGUGGGGAAUCUUAGACAAUGGGGGAAACCCUGAUCUAGCCAUGCCGCGUGAUCGAUGAAGGCCUUAGGGUUGUAAAGAUCUUUCAGAUGGGAAGAUAAUGACGGUACCAUCAGAAGA